rnacentral:rRNA from 1 species
AGUUGCUUCGGUGACUGACCUAGCGGCGGACGGGUGAGUAAUACUUAGGAAUCUGCCUAUUAAUGGGGGACAACAUCUCGAAAGGGAUGCUAAUACCGCAUACGCCCUACGGGGGAAAGCAGGGGAUCACUUGUGACCUUGCGUUAAUAGAUGAGCCUAAGUCGGAUUAGCUAGUUGGUGGGGUAAAGGCCUACCAAGGCGACGAUCUGUAGCGGGUCUGAAAGGAUGAUCCGCCACACUGGGACUGAGACACGGCCCAUACUCCUACGGGAGGCAGCAGUGGGGAAUAUUGGACAAUGGGGGGAACCCUGAUCCAGCCAUGCCGCGUGUGUGAAGAAGGCCUUAUGGUUGUAAAGCACUUUAAGCGAGGAGGAGGCUCUUUUGGUUAAUACCCAAGAUGAGUGGACGUUACUCGCAGAAUAAGCACCGGCUAACUCUGUGCCAGCAGCCGCGGUAAUACAGAGGGUGCGAGCGUUAAUCGGAUUUACUGGGCGUAAAGCGUGCGUAGGCGGCUUUUUAAGUCGGAUGUGAAAUCCCCGAGCUUAACUUGGGAAUUGCAUUCGAUACUGGGAAGCUAGAGUAUGGGAGAGGAUGGUAGAAUUCCAGGUGUAGCGGUGAAAUGCGUAGAGAUCUGGAGGAAUACCGAUGGCGAAGGCAGCCAUCUGGCCUAAUACUGACGCUGAGGUACGAAAGCAUGGGGAGCAAACAGGAUUAGAUACCCUGGUAGUCCAUGCCGUAAACGAUGUCUACUAGCCGUUGGGGUCUUUGAGACUUUAGUGGCGCAGCUAACGCGAUAAGUACACCGCCUGGGGAGUACGGUCGCAAGACUAAAACUCAAAUGAAUUGACGGGGGCCCGCACAAGCGGUGGAGCAUGUGGUUUAAUUCGAUGCAACGCGAAGAACCUUACCUGGUCUUGACAUAGUAAGAACUUUCCAGAGAUGGAUUGGUGCCUUCGGGAACUUACAUACAGGUGCUGCAUGGCUGUCGUCAGCUCGGGUCGUGAGAUGUUGGGUUAAUUCCCGCAACGAGCGCAACCUUUUUCUUAUU